UACGUAGGGGGCGAGCGUUGUCCGGAUUCAUUGGGCGUAAAGAGCUCGUAGGCGGCUUGGCAAGUCGGAUGUGAAAACUCCAGGCUCAACCUGGAGCCGCCAUUCGAUACUGCUAUGGCUAGAGUCCGGUAGGGGAGUGUGGAAUUCCCGGUGUAGCGGUGAAAUGCGCAGAUAUCGGGAGGAACACCGAUGGCGAAGGCAGCACUCUGGGCCGGCACUGACGCUGAGGAGCGAAAGCGUUGGGAGCGAACAGG
rnacentral:rRNA from 1 species